rnacentral:rRNA from 1 species
GAUGAACGCUGGCGGCGUGCCUAAUACAUGCAAGUCGAGCGAACAGACGAGGAGCUUGCUCCUCUGACGUUAGCGGCGGACGGGUGAGUAACACGUGGAUAACCUACCUAUAAGACUGGGAUAACUUCGGGAAACCGGAGCUAAUACCGGAUAAUAUAUUGAACCGCAUGGUUCAAUAGUGAAAGACGGUUUUGCUGUCACUUAUAGAUGGAUCCGCGCCGCAUUAGCUAGUUGGUAAGGUAACGGCUUACCAAGGCAACGAUGCGUAGCCGACCUGAGAGGGUGAUCGACCACACUGGAACUGAGACACGGUCCAGACUCCUACGGGAGGCAGCAGUAGGGAAUCUUCCGCAAUGGGCGAAAGACUGACGGAGCAACGCCGCGUGAGUGAUGAAGGUCUUCGGAUCGUAAAACUCUGUUAUUAGGGAAGAACAAAUGUGUAAGUAACUAUGCACGUCUUGACGGUACCUAAUCAGAAAGCCACGGCUAACUACGUG